rnacentral:rRNA from 1 species
UACGUAGGGGGCCAGCGUUGCUCGGAAUUACUGGGCGUAAAGGGCCCGUAGGCGGUGUGGCAAGUCGGGAGUGAAAUCUCUGGGCUUAACUCAGAGGCUGCUUCCGAAACUGCCGUGCUAGAGUGUGAGAGAGGCGAGUGGAAUUGCGGGUGUAGCGGUGAAAUGCGUAGAUAUCCGCAGGAACAUCCGAGGCGAAAGCGGCUCGCUGGAUCACAACUGACGCUGAGGGACGAAAGCUAGGGGAGCAAACAGG